rnacentral:rRNA from 1 species
CCAAUAGCGUAUAUUAAAGUUGCUGCAGUUAAAAAGCUCGUAGUUGAAUUUCGGGACCAAUAUGUCGGUCGUGCCUCGGUACGUACUGGCAUCGUUGGUUUCUCCCUUCUGACGAACUAUGAUGUCAUUAAUUUGGUGUCAUGGGGAAUCAGGACUGUUACUUUGAAAAAAUUAGAGUGUUUAAAGCAGGCUCACGCUUGAAUACAUUAGCAUGGAAUAAUGAAAUAGGACGUUUGAUUCUAUUUUGUUGGUUUCUAGGAUUGACGUAAUGAUUAAUAGGGAUAGUUGGGGGCAUUAGUAUUCAAUUGUCAGAGGUGAAAUUCUUGGAUUUAUUGAAGACUAACUACUGCGAAAGCAUUUGCCAAGGAUGUUUUCAUUAAUCAAGAACGAAAGUUAGGGGAUCGAAGACGAUCAGAUACCGUCGUAGUCUUAACCAUAAACUAUGCCGACUAGGGAUCGGAUGAUGUUAAUUUUUUAAUGACUCAUUCGGCGCCUUACG